CCAAUAGCGUAUAUUAAAGUUGUUGCAGUUAAAAAGCUCGUAGUUGAAUUUCGGAAUCUGUCCAUCGGUCGGGCUUCACUGUCCGUACUGGUGUGGUGGGUUCUUACCUUCUGAAUAACCAGCAUGCCAUUCACUUGGUGCGUUGGGGAAGCAGGACUAUUACCUUGAAAAAAUUAGAGUGCUCAAAGCAGGCUAGCGCCUGAAUACAUUAGCAUGGAAUAAUAAAAUAGGACGGCAUGGUUCUAUUUUGUUGGUUUCUAGGAUCACCGUAAUGAUUAAUAGGGAUAGUUGGGGGCAUUAGUAUUCAAUUGUCAGAGGUGAAAUUCUUGGAUUUAUUGAAGACUAACUUCUGCGAAAGCAUUUGCCAAGGAUGUUUUCAUUAAUCAAGAACGAAAGUUAGGGGAUCGAAGACGAUCAGAUACCGUCGUAGUCUUAACCAUAAACUAUGCCGACUAGGGAUCGGACGAUGUUAAUUUUUUAAUGACUCGUUCGGCGCCUUACG
rnacentral:rRNA from 1 species